UACAGAGGGUGCGAGCGUUGUCCGGAAUCACUGGGCGUAAAGGGCGCGUAGGUGGCGGCCCAAGUCCGUGGUGAAAGCUCGAUGCUUAACAUCGAGUCGGCCACGGAGACUGGGUGGCUCGAGCACUGUAGGGGCAGAUGGAAUUCCGGGUGUAGCGGUGGAAUGCGCAGAUAUCAGGAAGAACACCAACGGCGAAGGCAGCUCGCUGGGACGGUACUGACGCUGAGACGCGAAAGCGUGGGGAGCGAACAGG
rnacentral:rRNA from 1 species